rnacentral:rRNA from 1 species
CCUACGGGAGGCAGCAGUGAGGAAUAUUGGUCAAUGGCCGAGAGGCUGAACCAGCCAAGUCGCGUGAGGGAAGACGGCCCUACGGGUUGUAAACCUCUUUUGUCGGGGAGCAAAGCGAUUCACGUGUGACUCAUUGAGAGUACCCGACGAAAAAGCAUCGGCUAACUCCGUGCCAGCAGCCGCGGUAAUACGGAGGAUGCGAGCGUUAUCCGGAUUUAUUGGGUUUAAAGGGUGCGCAGGCGGAGGUGCAAGUCAGCGGUCAAAUUGCGGGGCUCAACCCCGUACUGCAGUUGAAACUGCAUGCCUUGAGGGCGCGAGAGGUAUGCGGAAGGCGUGGUGUAGCGGUGAAAUGCAUAGAUAUCACGCAGAACUCCGAUUGCGAAGGCAGCAUACCGGCGCGCAACUGACGCUCAUGCACGAAAGCGUGGGUAUCGAACAGGAUUAGAUACCCGUGUAGUC